UUGUGAUUUCUGCUUGCCCUCUGAGUUUGUUUGCUGGUCAACCUGCUUUGCUGCCUAUAUGGUUCUGUUUUUGUUUUUGUUUUUUUUAAAUAAUAAACUGCCUUAAAUUGUUCCCUCCCUGCCUAGUCACAGUCAAACUUGGGUCUUCCUCCUCUCCUGCUUCCGUGACACCCUACCUGGACAGUUUUCAUACAAUCUGUUGUUGAUCUGAGGGGUGUGUGUGUGUGUGUGUUAACAUUGUAUCACCUGUCUUAUUUGUGUUUGUGUAUGAGUUAUUAUUUCUGUACUGAUUUAGUAUGAUUUUUUCUUGAACAAAGGGAAAUUUCACACACACUCACACACAUACACACACACACAGGUACUUACUUCACCAAAACUUACUGGAAAAUAAUCAGCGUCAUUAUUAGGUUGUAACAUGUGGCCCAACUCUCCCCAUCAAACCCUAUUAAUGUCUGUACCCAACAACAGACUACAGUCAUGACCAGGCUAGUCGUCAGCUCACCCAAUGCCAGGCCAACUGUCUGCUUACAGUCUUUAUUUAUGGGAACAAUUUAAGGCAGAAGACAAAAACAGAACCAUAUAGGCAGCAAAGCAGGUUGACCAGCAAACAAACUCAGAGGGCAAGCAGAAAUCACAAUCUGUAAAUCAGUUUGAACUUCAGCAGGUCGUCUGGAUCAUGUCUACAGGCCUAAAUGCACUGAGUUGCUGCCAUGUGAUUGGCUGAUUAACAAGCAAUUGAACAGUGGAUCAGCCAUGGACAAAGGUUUGCUGCUGGUCCUGUUGUGUCUGCAGGUCGUCCUGCUCACCACAGUCUUCACUUCUGCUGAUGCAGCCGCUCUGCUGAGAGAUGAUCAGCAUCAACAACCUGUUGAUCCAAUGAGAAGUCUGCAGCAAAUGAAAGGAAGACGACAGACGGAGCAGAAACUUCCAUACUGGAUAUUCUGCGGGAGGAGACGAGGAGGAUGCACUUUGACAGGAGACCUGCCACGUCCUGGGAUCAUCUUUUGACCAGUUCAAGUCACAUUCAAUAGACAUCUUGAGUCAAGCUCUGCAGGAAAUGCCAUUAGAUGCAAAAGACAGCAAAUGAAUGAAGAUAAUUGUAAUGCUUACAAAAUAAUGCAAGUGCUUUUUAUUAGAAAUAAAAAUUUCAAAUCAGA
ensembl:lncRNA